UACGAAGGGGGGCUAGCGUUGCUCGGAAUCACUGGGCGUAAAGCGCACGUAGGCGGUCUUUUAAGUCAGGGGUGAAAUCCUGGAGCUCAACUCCAGAACUGCCUUUGAUACUGGGAGACUUGAGUCCGGGAGAGGUGAGUGGAACUGCGAGUGUAGAGGUGAAAUUCGUAGAUAUUCGCAAGAACACCAGUGGCGAAGGCGGCUCACUGGACUGGUAUUGACGCUGAGGUACGAAAGCGUGGGGAGCAAACAGG
rnacentral:rRNA from 1 species